GAUGAACGCUGGCGGCGUGCUUAACACAUGCAAGUCGAACGAACCUUCGGGGUUAGUGGCGGACGGGUGGAGUAACGCGUGAGAAUCUGCCCUCCAGGAGGGGGACGAACAGCUGGAAACGGACUGCUAAUACCCCACUAUGCCGCGAGGUGAAAUGAAUUUCGCCUGAGGAUGAGCUCGCGUCUGAUUAGCUAGUUGGUGUAGGUAAUGGCUCACCAAGGCAUCGAUCAGUAGCUGGUCUGAGAGGAUGAUCAGCCACACUGGGACUGAGACACGGCCCAGACUCCUACGGGAGGCAGCAGUGGGGAAUUUUCCGUCAAUGGGCGAAAGCCUGACGGAGCAACGCCGCGUGAGGGAUGAAGGCCUCUGGGCUGUAAACCUCUUUUAUUCAAGGAAGAAGAUCUGACGGUACUUGAUGAAUAAGCCACGGCUAAUUCCGUGCCAGCAGCCGCCGCUGU
rnacentral:rRNA from 1 species